CCUACGGGUGGCUGCAGUGGGGAAUAUUGGACAAUGGGGGGAACCCUGAUCCAGCGACGCCGCGUGAGUGAAGAAGUAUUUCGGGAUGUAAAGCUCUAUCAGCAGGGAAGAAAAUGACGGUACCUGACUAAGAAGCCCCGGCUAACUACGUGCCAGCAGCCGCGGUAAGACGUAGGGGGCAAGCGUUAUCCGGAUUUACUGGGUGUAAAGGGAGCGUAGACGGUGCCGCAAGUCUGAUGUGAAAGGUCGGGGCCCAACCCCGGGACUGCCUUGGAAACUGUUGAACUGGAGUACAGGAGAGGUCAGCGGAAUUCCUCGUGUAGCGGUUACCUGCGUAGCUAUUAGGAG
rnacentral:rRNA from 1 species